rnacentral:tRNA from 1 species
ACUUUCUUAGUAUAAAUAGUACAGAUGGCUUCCAACCACCUAAUCUUGGUUCAACCCCAGGAGAAAGUA